AUUGAACGCUGGCGGCAGGCCUAACACAUGCAAGUCGGACGGUAGCACAGAGGAGCUUGCUCCUCGGGUGACGAGUGGCGGACGGGUGAGUAAUGUCUGGGGAUCUGCCCGAUAGAGGGGGAUAACCACUGGAAACGGUGGCUAAUACCGCAUAACGUCGCAAGACCAAAGAGGGGGACUUUCGGGCCUCUCACUAUCGGAUGAACCCAGAUGGGAUUAGCUAGUAGGCGGGGUAAUGGCCCACCUAGGCGACGAUCCCUAGCUGGUCUGAGAGGAUGACCAGCCACACUGGAACUGAGACACGGUCCAGACUCCUACGGGAGGCAGCAGUGGGGAAUAUUGCACAAUGGGCGCAAGCCUGAUGCAGCCAUGCCGCGUGUAUGAAGAAGGCCUUCGGGUUGUAAAGUACUUUCAGCGGGGAGGAAGGCGAUGUGGUUAAUAACCUUGUCGAUUGACGUUACCCGCAGAAGAAGCACCGGCUAACUCCGUGCCAGCAGCCGCCGUAA
rnacentral:rRNA from 1 species